ensembl:lncRNA
AGUCGACCUUGAGAGAGGAUCAGGGUGGAACUACUCUAAUCUCAUGAGCCCUUAGAAGCAGAGAAUUCCCCUGGCUGGAGGCAAAAGGAGACGUCAGAGAGAUUCAGCGUGUGAGAAGGAUUGAGCCUCAGCUGUGGAAGGCAGGAGAAGGAGAUGAAUCCUGCCAACAACACGAACGAGCUCGGGAGCAGAUUGUCCCCUGGACCCAUCAGAAACGAUCCCAGGCCGGCCGGCUCCUUCACUUUGGCCUGGUGACACCCUAAGCCAAGAACGCAUUCAAGCUGCCUGGACUCGUCACCUGCAGAACUGUGGGGAGACCAGGUGUUUUGUUCCGCUGCUCCAAGCCAGAGAAGGUAGGGAGGCGAGCCCACAGCGGAGGCUGGCAGCUGUCCAGCAUGCCUGCACCUCGCAAGGAAAGCUGCCCGACUGUGGGGUGAAAUACUCACAUGCCCACGUGGCUUGCAGAGAAGGAGACCUCAUUCUCCAACAGCUUCCUCAGUAAGAACGGAGGCAGAGAAGUUUGCUGAGGUGGCGCGGGAAUCAGCCUACCGUCGUGCGCACA